rnacentral:tRNA from 1 species
GGUUUCUGUAGUUGAAACUACAACAGCGGCUUUUCAGGCCGCAGGUUUUGGAGAAAANCCAAGCAGAAAUUUCUG